AAGAUAGUUUCUCUCCAUGAUUUGUAUUAUAGAGCCACGUAAGGAUAAGGGUGGGAAAGGUUACAACUUGUUGCAAGGAGCUUCUCUUGAUUUAGAUAGACUUGAUUUGAAUCACCACCAUAGAUAGUUCAGGGUCCUAUUUUCUACGUUUUUCUUUUCAGUCAUUAAUAAUUAUGUUGUAUAUACGAUAUUGUUGGGGGUAACAUAAAUACAAGAGAGAGAAAACAUUUGCUUAAAAUGAUGCUCGUAAGGAGGUUAGUCUAGUAACAAACAGUUAAAACUGGUUGUAUGUUAAUGUUUCGUCACCAAAAUGCAGGGGAAAAUCGCAACAUAAAGAAAUGCUAAUGGAUCCUUUGAAAAUGUGGCAAAGUUCAUGUUUGGGAGCGACAUUAACAGAUUAAAAUUCGAUUCAUGUAGAGGUUAAGAGCAGACUGAAUUCCGGUAAUGCUUGCUACAAUUCAGUUCAGAAACGUUUGACUUCUGUCUGCUGACUAAAAACAAAGAUUAAACAAAACUAUAAUUUUGCUUGUAUCUUUGCAAGGGCGUGAAACUUCGUCUGUAACACUAUGGAAAUUAGAUUGGCGGUGUUUGAGAAUAGGGUGCUUAGGAAAAUAUUUGGACUAAGCAGGAUGAAUUACUAGGCUGGAGAAAGUUGCACAGUGAUUUAGGUGGGAGAAUAAUAGUAAAAUGGACCAUGGAGAAAUAGGCAUGGGUUGGACACUACACAAAGCGAUGCCUAUUAUCACUACCAAUAGUGGAAUGACGUUCAUGGAUAUCCAUUGAAUGAUUGAACAGUUAUUGGAGAUGGGAACAGAUAUUAAGAGUAAAUUAUGAUGGUGGUUCAAACUUGAUCCAAAAUGUUGUGGAAGGAUUCCUGGGUUACAAGCGUGUCAGGUGGCUGAACGGUGAAUAAACCUUAUCUUCUGCCAACGUUUCGAGAACAAUCUCUGCUCUCAUUCUCAUGGCUGCUGGGUAACAAAUCUGAUCCUUUGUUGUGCAUUUGUUGAUGGGAAGAAAGAUGAGACCAACAUUGUCGACAGAAGCAUCAUGGGUGAUAUCAUCACACAUGAGGAAGGGAUCAUGGGUAAUGGGACUGUCAACCGCCCCCUCACAAAUCUGACAAUCGUCAUGCUGGUAUUAACAACUGAAGGAUAUUAGGAUGUAUGAUUUUAUACUUGGCAUCAGUGACACAAUAUCAAUACCAAACUUCAAAAAUGAAUAAAAAUACGUCCAGUCAUUCUUGAAUUAUUGCAUAAAUACACAGCCAAUUCACAAUAAAUUUAAAAUUAUAGUAGCACUAUACAAGACAAUAUGUAGUCUUGACCAUGAAGUCAAAUUAGUUUCUGAUACUUCACAUGAAAGUUCUGCCCUAGAUGAUCUCAUUCAGAAGUUGGAUAA